rnacentral:rRNA from 1 species
GAGUGGACUCCUACGGGAGGCAGCAGUGGGGAAUAUUGGACAAUGGACCGAGAGUCUGAUCCAGCAAUUCUGUGUGCACGAUGAAGUUUUUCGGAAUGUAAAGUGCUUUCAGUUGGGAAGAAAGAAAUGACGGUACCAACAGAAGAAGUGACGGCUAAAUACGUGCCAGCAGCCGCGGUAAUACGUAUGUCACGAGCGUUAUCCGGAUUUAUUGGGCGUAAAGCGCGUCUAGGUGGUUAUAUAAGUCUGAUGUGAAAAUGCAGGGCUCAACUCUGUAUUGCGUUGGAAACUGUAUAACUAGAGUACUGGAGAGGUAAGCGGAACUACAAGUGUAGAGGUGAAAUUCGUAGAUAUUUGUAGGAAUGCCGAUGGGGAAGCCAGCUUACUGGACAGAUACUGACGCUGAAGCGCGAAAGCGUGGGUAGCAAACAGGAUUAGAUACCCUUGUAGUCCUGAGU